AAAAAAAUAAAUAAUUUUUUUAAUUUUUUUUCGAAUUAUACUAUUUCGAAAUUCAAACCCGAAACCCUAAAACUCAAGUCUAAACCCUAAAACAUCAAUCCUAAACCCAAUUUCUUUUUUGAUAUACGAACCCUAAAGCCUAAACCAUCAAUCCUAAACUUUUUUUUUUUGAAAUACGGACCCUAACCACUGAAACAUCAACUUUAAACCCUAAACCCCGAAACAUAAAUUCCAAACCCUAAACCCUAAACCUUCAACUCUAAACCCUAAAACAUCAACUCUAAACCCUAAAUCCUAAACUUCAACUCUAAACCCUAAACCAUUAACACUAAACCCUAAACUCUCAACACUAAACCCUAAACCCUAAAAAAUAAACUCUAAACCCUAAAAAAUUAACCCUAAACCCUAAAAAAUCAACUCUAAACCCUAAACCCUAAACCUUCAACUCUAAACCCUAAACUCUAAACCCUAAAUCCUACACCCUAAAACCCUAGAGUUGGUGUUUUAGGGUUUAGAUUUGAAGGUUUAGGGUUUUAGGGUUUAGGGUUUACGUUUAGGGUUUAGAGUUGAUGUUUUAGGGCUUAGAUUUGAACGUUUAGUGUUUUAGGGUUUAGGGUUCGAAUUUCAGAAAAAAUAUAGGGUUUAGGGUUUACGUUUAGGGUUUAGAGUUGAUGUUUUAUGGUUUAGAGUUUUGGGUUUAGAGUUGGUGUUUCGGGGUUUAGGGUUUAUAGUUGGUGUUUCAUGGUUUAGGGUUUAGAGUUGAUGAUUUAGGGUUUAGAGUUGAUGUUUUAAGUUUAGAUUUAGGGUUUACGUUUAGGGUUUAGAGUUAAUGUUUUAGGGUUUAGAUUUGAAAGUUUAGGGUUUAGGGUUUAGAGUUGAUGUUUCGGGGUUUAGGGUUUAGAGUUGAUGUUUCAUAGUUUAGGGUUUAGAGUUGAUGAUUUAGGGUUUAGAGUUGAUGUUUUAAGUUUAUAUUAGUUAACCUUAUGUUUUUUUUUGUCAAAGUUAAUCAAAAGGUUAUAAAUGUCUUUUACCAUUCAUUAAAGAUGGUGGUAAAAGUGGUUAGUGUAAACAUGAAAAG
rnacentral:lncRNA from 1 species